AGAGUUUGAUCAUGGCUCAGAUUGAACGCUGGCGGCAGGCUUAACACAUGCAAGUCGAGCGGAAACGAAAGUAGCUUGCUACUAGGCGUCGAGCGGCGGACGGGUGAGUAAUGCUUAGGAAUCUACCGAGUAGUGGGGGAUAGCCAUUGGAAACGAUGAUUAAUACCGCAUAUAUCCUACGGGGGAAAGCAGGGGACCUUCGGGCCUUGCGCUAUUCGAUGAGCCUGAGUGAGAUUAGCUAGUUGGUGGGGUAAAGGCCUACCAAGGCGACGAUCUCUAGCUGGUCUGAGAGGAUGAUCAGUCACACUGGAACUGAGACACGGUCCAGACUCCUACGGGAGGCAGCAGUGGGGAAUAUUGCACAAUGGACGAAAGUCUGAUGCAGCAACGCCGCGUGGAGGAUGACACUUUUCGGAGCGUAAACUCCUUUUAUAUAGGAAGAUAAUGACGGUACUAUAUGAAUAAGCACCGGCUAACUCCGUGCCAGCAGCCGCGGUAAUACGGAGGGUGCAAGCGUUACUCGGAAUCACUGGGCGUAAAGAGCGUGUAGGCGGAUAGAUAAGUUCGAAGUGAAAUCCAAUGGCUCAACCAUUGAACUGCUUUGAAAACUGUUUAUCUAGAAUAUGGGAGAGGUAGAUGGAAUUUCUGGUGUAGGGGUAAAAUCCGUAGAGAUCAGAAGGAAUACCGAUUGCGAAGGCGAUCUACUGGAACAUUAUUGACGCUGAGACGCGAAAGCGUGGGGAGCAAACAGGAUUAGAUACCCUGGUAGUCCACGCCCUAAACGAUGCACACUAGUUGUUGCUAUGCUAGACAUAGCAGUAAUGCAGUUAACACAUUAAGUGUGCCGCCUGGGGAGUACGGUCGCAAGAUUAAAACUCAAAGGAAUAGACGGGGACCCGCACAAGCGGUGGAGCAUGUGGUUUAAUUCGACGAUACGCGAAGAACCUUACCUGGACUUGACAUAGUAAGAAGAUUUAAGAGAUUAGAUUGUGUCUGCUUGCAGAAACUUAUAUACAGGUGCUGCACGGCUGUCGUCAGCUCGUGUCGUGAGAUGUUGGGUUAAGUCCCGCAACGAGCGCAACCCUCGUCCUUAGUUGCUAACAGUUCGGCUGAGAACUCUAAGGAGACUGCCUGGGUAACCAGGAGGAAGGUGAGGACGACGUCAAGUCAUCAUGGCCCUUACGUCCAGGGCUACACACGUGCUACAAUGGAGUAUACAAAGAGCAGCAAUACCGUGAGGUGGAGCAAAUCUCAAAAAUACUUCCCAGUUCGGAUAGCACUCUGCAACUCGAGUGCUUGAAGUUGGAAUCGCUAGUAAUCGUAGAUCAGCAAUGCUACGGUGAAUACGUUCCCGGGUCUUGUACUCACCGCCCGUCACACCAUGGGAA
rnacentral:rRNA from 1 species